rnacentral:lncRNA from 1 species
GAGGGGUGGAGACCAAUCGGAAUCCAGCUGGAAAUGGGUGGUUCAAGGGCGGACGGUGUGGGUUUCACCGAAGCCAACGCUGGAGGAGGUUGCAGAGCUUUCUAGGUGGUUCCCGGGGGUCGUCGAGGCCCCGAUAGUGGCUCUAAGGGAGCGAUCAAAGCUAUGGGCAGCAACCGCGGUGGUGGGAAGGAGUUUGGGAC